ensembl:lncRNA
CCCCUCUCUCCCUGGCCUGUCUGGUACAGGUACCCCCACCACACUCACCCCUCUCUCCCUGGCCUGUCUGGUACAGGUACCCCCACCACACUCACCCCUCUCUCCCUGGCCUGUCUCCCCUUGUCUGGUACAGGUACCCCCACCACACUCCCCCUCUCUCCCUGGCCUGUCUCCCCUUGUCUGGUACAGGUACCCCCACCACACUCACCCCUCUCUCCCUGGCCUGUCUGGUACAGGUACCCCCACCACACUCACCCCUCUCUCCCUGGCCUGUCUGGUACAGGUACCCCCACCACACUCACCCCUC